AGCAGCCGCGGUAAUUCCAGCUCCAAUAGCGUAUAUUAAAGUUGUUGCAGUUAAAAAGCUCGUAGUUGAAUUUCGGGGUUAGUAGGUUGGUCAUGCCUCUGGUAUGUACUGGUCUCACUGAUUCCUCCUUCCUGAUGAGCCGUAAUGCCAUUAAUUUGGUGUUGCGGGGAAUUUGGACUGUUACUUUGAAAAAAUUAGAGUGUUUAAAGCAAGCUAACGCUUGAAUACAUUAGCAUGGAAUAAUGAAAUAGGACGUUCGAUCCUAUUUUGUUGGUUUCUAGGAUUGACGUAAUGAUUAAUAGGGAUAGUUGGGGGCAUUAGUAUUCAAUUGUCAGAGGUGAAAUUCUUGGAUUUAUUGAAGACUAACUACUGCGAAAGCAUUUGCCAAGGAUGUUUUCAUUAAUCAAGAACGAAAGUUAGGGGAUCGAAGACGAUCAGAUACCGUCGUAGUCUUAACCAUAAACUAUGCCGACUGGGGAUCGAAUGAUGUUAAUUUUUUAAUGACUCAUUCGGCGCCUUACG
rnacentral:rRNA from 1 species